AUGAUAGAACUGAAAGAAAGGACUAGGAAGGAAUACAUUUUAACUGGCUUUGGGACACCAACUUGGUUCUGCUUUUGCACCUAUGCAAUGCAAAUAUAUCGAUCUCAUAAUCCAGCUGUAACUGCAUUUUUCAACUAUGAAAACCCAUGGAGAAAGGGACCAGAAAUAACAGAUAUUAUACACAAUGAUAUAAGUAAGCAAUGCCAAAAUCCAAUCUUACCCUUGCACUUGUAUGCAGGACCACAUGUUCUUACCCUUGGGAGUAAUCAGGAUUUGUCAAUACAAACGUUUCUGAAACCAGUUCUAGGCUAG
rnacentral:rRNA from 1 species